CCGUGGGGUAACCCUGCCCCGAUGACUGGGACAACCCGAGGAAACUCGGGCUAAUACCGGAUGUGCUCGCAUCACACAAGUGAUGCAAGUAAAGAUGGCUUCGGCCUUCGCAUUGGGAUGGGCCCGCGGCCCAUUAGCUUGUUGGUGGGGUAACGGCCUACCAAGGCGACGAUGGGUAGCUGGUCUGAGAGGACGAUCAGCCACAUGGGACUGAGACACGGCCCAG
rnacentral:rRNA from 1 species